rnacentral:lncRNA from 1 species
UAGUAUAAAAGAGAGAGACUGUAAGAGAAAGGAGACAAAGAGAUAAAAGGUGCGAGUGAACAGUUUACAGGUGUAUCCAGCAGCUCCAGAGAGACAGCGACCAGCGAGAAGGGGCCAUAAUGAUGGUGGCGGUUUUGUCAAAAAGAAAAGGGGGAUAUGCAGGGAAAAGAAAGAGAGAUCAGACUGUUACUGUGUCUACAUAGAAAGGGAAGACAUAAGAGACUCCAUUUUGAAAAAGACCUGUACUUUAAACAAUUGCUUUGCUGAGAUGUUCUUAAUCUGCGGCUUUGCCCCAGCCAGUUUGACCAAACCACUUUGACCCAACCUGGAGCUAACAAAAACAUGUGUUGUAUGAAAUCAAGGUUUAAGGGAUGUAGGGCUGUGCAGGACGUGCCUUGUUAACAAAAUGUUUACAAGCAGUAGACUUGGUAAUACUCAUCGCCAAUCUCUAGUCUCAAUAAACCAGGGGCACAAUGCACUGCAGACAGUUGCAAGGACUUCUGCCCUUGAAUGCUGGGUAUUGUCCAGGGUUUCUCCCCAUGUGAU